rnacentral:tRNA from 1 species
UUGGGAUAGCUCAACCAGUAAAGCAGAGGACUGAAAAUCCUC